GCCUUUGUGGUGUAAUCGUCAGCACGCUCGACACGUAACCGAGAGGUCCAUGGUUCGAUUCCCGGAGAAGGCG
rnacentral:tRNA from 1 species